rnacentral:rRNA from 1 species
AUGAACGCUGGCGGCGUGCCUAAUACAUGCAAGUCGAACGGAGCACUUCGGUGCUUAGUGGCGAACGGGUGAGUAAUAUAUGAACAACCUACCCCUUUGACCGGGAUAACACACUGAAAAGCGUGCUAAUACCGGAUAGGCGAUCGAGAGGCAUCUCUUGAUUAUUAAAGGAGCGCAUGCUCCACAUUGGGAUGGGUUCAUAUCGCAUUAGCUAGUUGGUGAGGUAACGGCCCACCAAGGCGAUGAUGCGUAGCCGAUCUGAGAGGAUGACCGGCCACAUUGGGACUGAGACACGGCCCAGACUCCUACGGGAGGCAGCAGUAGGGAAUUUUCGGCAAUGGGCGCAAGCCUGACCGAGCAACGCCGCGUGAACGAUGAAGGUCUUAUGGAAUUGUAAAGUUCUGUUACGAGGGAAGAACAGCACUGAUAGGAAAUGAUCAGUGUGUGACGGUACCUCGCCAGAAAGCCACGGCUAACUACGUGCCAGCAGCAGC